CGACUCGCCGAAUGAGUUUCUGACCUAUCAACUCGAGACGGCGGGGUAGAGGCCCGCCGCGGUAACGACGGGUAACGGGGAAUCAGGGUUCGAUUCCGGAGAGGGAGCCCGAGAAACGGCUACCACUUCCAAGGAAGGCAGCAGGCGCGCAACUUACCCUAAUCUCGAUUCGAGGAGGUAGUGACAAGAAAUACCGAUGCGGGACCCUACGGGGUGCCGCGUUCGGAAUGAGUACGAUUCGAACCACCUAACGAGGAACGAUCGGAGGGCAAGUCUGGUGCCAGCAGCCGCGGUAAUUCCAGCUCCAAUAGCGUACGUUAAAGUUGCUGCAGUUAAAAAGCUCGUAGUUGAACGUUCGGGUUCCGCGGGACGGGGCCGCCCCGCGAGGGACGGCGCCGCCCCGGGGCUCGUGAUAUCUUAUCUCGCCGCCCGUCGCGAGGCGGACGGAGGGAUGGAUGAGGUUACCUGGAAAAAAAUCGGGG
rnacentral:rRNA from 1 species